AUUGAACGCUGGCGGCAGGCCUAACACAUGCAAGUCGAGCGGAUGAGAGGAGCUUGCUUCUCGAUUCAGCGGCGGACGGGUGAGUAAUGCCUAGGAAUCUGCCUGGUAGUGGGGGACAACGUUUCGAAAGGAACGCUAAUACCGCAUACGUCCUACGGGAGAAAGCAGGGGACCUUCGGGCCUUGCGCUAUCAGAUGAGCCUAGGUCGGAUUAGCUAGUUGGUGAGGUAAUGGCUCACCAAGGCGACGAUCCGUAACUGGUCUGAGAGGAUGAUCAGUAACACUGGAACUGAGACACGGUCCAGACUCCUACGGGAGGCAGCAGUGGGGAAUAUCGGACAAUGGGCGAAAGCCUGAUCCAGCCAUGCCGCGUGUGUGAAGAAGGUCUUCGGAUUGUAAAGCACUUUAAGUUGGGAGGAAGGGUUGUGGAUUAAUACUCUGCAGUUUUGACGUUACCGACAGAAUAAGCACCGGCUAACUCUGUGCCAGCCGCCGCCGUAACAC
rnacentral:rRNA from 1 species